UGCAGUCGAGCGCGCCCUUCGGGGUGAGCGGCGGACGGGUUAGUAACGCGUGGGAACAUACCCUUUUCUACGGAAUAGCCUCUGGAAACGGAGAGUAAUACCGUAUGAGCCCUUCGGGGGAAAGAUUUAUCGGGAAAGGAUUGGCCCGCGUUAGAUUAGGUAGUUGGUGGGGUAAUGGCCUACCAAGCCUACGAUCUAUAGCUGGUUUUAGAGGAUGAUCAGCAACACUGGGACUGAGACACGGCCCAGACUCCUACGGGAGGCAGCAGUGGGGAAUCUUGGACAAUGGGCGCAAGCCUGAUCCAGCCAUGCCGCGUGAGUGAUGAAGGCCUUAGGGUCGUAAAGCUCUUUCGCCUGUGAAGAUAAUGACGGUAGCAGGUAAAGAAACCCCGGCUAACUCCGUGCCAGCAGCCGCGGUAAUACGGAGGGGGUUAGCGUUGUUCGGAAUUACUGGGCGUAAAGCGCACGUAGGCGGACUGGAAAGUAUGGGGUGAAAUCCCAGGGCUCAACCCUGGAACUGCCUCAUAAACUCCCAGUCUUGAGUUCGAGAGAGGUGAGUGGAAUUCCGAGUGUAGAGGUGAAAUUCGUAGAUAUUCGGAGGAACACCAGUGGCGAAGGCGGCUCACUGGCUCGAUACUGACGCUGAGGUGCGAAAGUGUGGGGAGCAAACAGGAUUAGAUACCCUGGUAGUCCACACCGUAAACGAUGAAUGCCAGUCGUCGGGUAGCAUGCUAUUCGGUGACACACCUAACGGAUUAAGCAUUCCGCCUGGGGAGUACG
rnacentral:rRNA from 1 species